UACAGGAUAUAAUGGCAAGUUGGGAUGAGAAACUUCUUACAGCUGCAAAGGAGGGGAAUAUAAAAGAGGUAGAAAUAUGUGUAAAGAACAGAGCUAACUUGGAAUGUAGAGAUAAUUUUGAUGGAUGGACACCAUUAAUGUGGGCGGCUGUGAGAGGACACCUGGAGGUGGUGACUUACCUGGUCACUCACGGCAGUCAGUUAGACGCUACA